rnacentral:lncRNA from 1 species
AGUGUCUCAAGGUGCCCACUUUCAACGAUCAAAGAAACUGUUUCAAGGAGAGACCAGUCCAGAGAUCGCAGAAGCAAUGCAAGAUGUUCUAUUCUCAUCCCAUGGAUUGCAACAGAUUCGGGUGUCUCCCAUUCUUUUCUCCUCCGCCUCUUCCACCUCCACCUCCUCCUCCACCGCCACCUUCACCUUCACCUCCACCACCGCUAGUCUACUCACCUCCUCCUCCUCCUCCUUAUAUUUACUCGUCUCCUCCUCCACCGUCACCUAUGGUAUACUCGUCUCCUCCUCCUCCUCCUUAUGUGUACUCGUCACCUCCUCCUCCUCCUUAUGUGUACUCGUCACCUCCUCCUCCUCCUUAUGUGUACUCGUCGCCUCCACCGCCAGCUACAAUACAUUCGUCACCUCCACCUCCAGUAUCCUGGUGGCACCAGCAACCGUCACCUCCUCAUCCAGAACCUUGGUGGCACCAGCAGCCGUCACCUCCUCAUCCAGUACCCUGGUGGCGCCACCAAUCAUCACCUCCUCAUCCAGUACCCUGGUGGCGCCACCAAUCAUCACCUCCCUAUCCUAAAUACUCACCACCGCCGCUGCCUUCGGUUUAAUUUACUCGCCUUCUCCACCAAUCCGGUGCAUAGAACCUCCUUUGCCUCCACCUCUUCCGAUAACACCAAGUCCAUUACUGGCACCGGUCUACGACAGUUCACUGGCUUCCGUUUUCCCCACCACUUCUCGAUGUUGUUGUGAUGAAUGAGCAUGAGAGUGAUAGAAAUUUCAGCAAUGAAUAAAUGAUUGUAUAGAUUGAAUUUGGUUAUUUAAUCUUGGUAUUAAGAAUUGAUUACACUUAAAACAUAAUUAAAUUCUUUUUUUCCCCACAC